UAGCCUAGUGGUUAGAGUGUAGUGACGGCAGGUAGCCUAGUGGUUAGAGUGUAGGGACGGCAGGUAGCCUAGUGGUUAGAGCGUAGGGACGGCAGGUAGCCUAGUGGUUAGAGUGUAGGGACGGCAGGUAGCCUAGUGGUUAGAGUGUAGGGACGGCAGGUAGACUAGUGGUUAGAGUGUAGGGACGGCAGGUAGCCUAGUGGUUAGAGUGUAGGGACGGCAGGUAGCCUAGUGGUUAGAGUGUAGGGGCGGCAGGUAGCCUAGUGGUUAGAGUGUAGGGACGGCAGGUAGCCUAGUGGUUAGAGUGUAGGGACGGCAGGUAGCCUAGUGGUUAGAGUGUAG
ensembl:lncRNA